rnacentral:misc_RNA from 1 species
AAAGGCACCUCUCGUGGAAGAUCGGCUCUUGCCGUCUUCUCUUUUUUUGUCCACAUCAACCAUCAGUGGACACAGACAAGAAGUGCACGCUUGUGCUCUUCCACCGUCUUCGAAGCCACUCCCGCUGCCUUUUCUCGUAGAACAUUCUCUGCUUCUGUGGCACACUCAUCGAUGUAGUUAACUCGCUCCCACGUAGUCACCCGCACGCGACCACGCGGCACCGCUGCUUGUAUGUGGUGACUCUCUUCGUCCUUGUCAUCUCCGUGACACUGUGGAGCGUCACCUCAUCCCCCGACAGCAUCAACGUCUCGCUUGUCGCAGUGAGCCUAGGGGAUUGCAAGCUUAUCCGGGGUUAGUGUAACACUAAUGCGCUUGUCGCCAUUCGCGGGACCAAAAUGAAUACGCAGAUGGCCGACGUGGCACUUGAGACAAGCUGUACGAUGAAGGGCAUGCUGGUCUUCACGGUGACGGUGCCCGCCGGCCAGAACUGCCCCGCGACCGCAACGCGUCCGACGGAUAUCCCCGUUUCAAUGUUCUACCAGAAGCUCAUCUGGGUCCGCGCUCUCUCGCAGGCAAUUUCUACCCCGCACCCAUAUUGCUUGUGGCCCAGAGGACGGUGCAUGUCUCUAUGGAUUUUUUUCCUGCAUGUCCGACUUCCAGGACGAGGGGCAACUGCUCAUGCGGGGCGAAUGAUGCAGCCCGCCGGCUUUUGCGGAGCUUGCAAAGGAACGCCUGUGCGACACCACGAACGCAAACUGCAUUAGGGCAACAUCCGCCGGCUUUAUGGAUAGCGCGGCAGUGGUGCCGACGUCGGCCAACCUGAUGGAGCGAGUCCGGGUGAAGAUGGCACAGGUUGCGCCCCAAACGUGCGUUCCGCCGGGUGUGUCGCUUGCGAACGACAUCACCGUGCGCCACUUCCGGAGCAUCCUUUUUACCAGGAACUGCUCUAUCCGUGCUGGAGGCGGCGCUAAAGGUGAUGGACACCCAUGCCGUUGACGGUGGUGCGGCCAGCUUUGCGCUGAGCGACGUCGCAGGCGCUACGGUGGAUGAUGUGCUGAGAAGCUACACCGCCACCGCAGCACGGUCCGCGAGCGAUAGGGCGAGCAGUUAUCUAUAUCUGCCGCCAAUGUUCGUGGCAGACUCCUUUUUUUUGUGUUUCUCUCUCGUCUUCUGCUUUCCGAUUUUGGCGUACAACAACUAUAGGCGGACAUGUCGGAGUUCCGCAUGUGGUGCUGCUCUUCCUCCCUCCUUGGCUGUGCGUGGUCUGUCUUGCUCAAAUACCAAAGAGGAAACACACAAACACGAGAACACUCGCUCUCUCUCUUUCUGUCUUUGCUGUGUGUGUGCUUGUGCGUAUAUGUGUGCUGGCGAAUAGGAUGCGGUGAGGUCGCCGUUCAUCUCAUGGCGAGACGCUUUUUUACCACGCCACGUGCUGCUUCUGCACUGGCGACUGAAUAAGUGUCUUUUGCUCGUUUUUAGUUCGUGUAGGUGCCCCUGUGCGCGUGCGUAUUCCAGUCACAUGCAGCGCAUCUGGUAGUGGCGCUGCCGGCGGAGGGGGGGGCAAUGCUUCCUCCCCUGUGCACUGCAGUAGAACGCGUGCAGACUUUAGUGACCAACAGAGACCGCCAUCUAUCAGCCUCCAGGUCUGCGCAUCUUCCAGUGGCGCACGCUAUCUGGCCUGCAGUUGUAUCAUGUCGCACCCAAAACUGACUAACACAUGUGAACAUCGAAGUGGCAGCGCUCCUUGUCUCGCGUAGUUUUGUUACUCUUUCUCUUCCCUGAUGUGCAG